rnacentral:rRNA from 1 species
UACGGAGGAUCCAAGCGUUAUCCGGAUUUAUUGGGUUUAAAGGGUGCGUAGGUGGACUUAUAAGUCAGAGGUGAAAGCUAGCAGCUUAACUGUUAAAUUGCCUUUGAUACUGUUUUUCUUGAGUGUAGUUGGCGUUGGCGGAAUGUGACAUGUAGCGGUGAAAUGCGUAGAUAUGUCACAGAACACCGAUCGCGAAGGCAGCUAACGAAGCUAUCACUGACACUGAUGCACGAAAGCGUGGGGAGCAAACAGG